UGCAGUCGACGAACUCUGGUAUUGAUUGGUGCUUGCAUCAUGAUUUACAUUUGAGUGAGUGGCGAACUGGUGAGUAACACGUGGGAAACCUGCCCAGAAGCGGGGGAUAACACCUGGAAACAGAUGCUAAUACCGCAUAACAACUUGGACCGCAUGGUCCGAGCUUGAAAGAUGGCUUCGGCUAUCACUUUUGGAUGGUCCCGCGGCGUAUUAGCUAGAUGGUGGGGUAACGGCUCACCAUGGCAAUGAUACGUAGCCGACCUGAGAGGGUAAUCGGCCACAUUGGGACUGAGACACGGCCCAAACUCCUACGGGAGGCAGCAGUAGGGAAUCUUCCACAAUGGACGAAAGUCUGAUGGAGCAACGCCGCGUGAGUGAAGAAGGGUUUCGGCUCGUAAAACUCUGUUGUUAAAGAAGAACAUAUCUGAGAGUAACUGUUCAGGUAUUGACGGUAUUUAACCAGAAAGCCACGGCUAACUACGUGCCAGCAGCCGCGGUAAUACGUAGGUGGCAAGCGUUGUCCGGAUUUAUUGGGCGUAAAGCGAGCGCAGGCGGUUUUUUAAGUCUGAUGUGAAAGCCUUCGGCUCAACCGAAGAAGUGCAUCGGAAACUGGGAAACUUGAGUGCAGAAGAGGACAGUGGAACUCCAUGUGUAGCGGUGAAAUGCGUAGAUAUAUGGAAGAACACCAGUGGCGAANGCGGCUGUCUGGUCUGUAACUGACGCUGAGGCUCGAAAGUAUGGGUAGCAAACAGGAUUAGAUACCCUGGUAGUCCAUACCGUAAACGAUGAAUGCUAAGUGUUGGAGGGUUUCCGCCCUUCAGUGCUGCAGCUAACGCAUUAAGCAUUCCGCCUGGGGAGUACGGCCGCAAGGCUGAAACUCAAGGGAAUUGACGGGGGCCC
rnacentral:rRNA from 2 species